rnacentral:rRNA from 1 species
AUUGAACGCUGGCGGCAGGCCUAACACAUGCAAGUCGAGCGGAUGAAGGGAGCUUGCUCCUGGAUUCAGCGGCGGACGGGUGAGUAAUGCCUAGGAAUCUGCCUGGUAGUGGGGGAUAACGUCCGGAAACGGGCGCUAAUACCGCAUACGUCCUGAGGGAGAAAGUGGGGGAUCUUCGGACCUCACGCUAUCAGAUGAGCCUAGGUCGGAUUAGCUAGUUGGUGGGGUAAAGGCCUACCAAGGCGACGAUCCGUAACUGGUCUGAGAGGAUGAUCAGUCACACUGGAACUGGAACACGGUCCAGACUCCUACGGGAGGCAGCAGUGGGGAAUAUUGAACAAUGGGCGAAAGCCUGAUCCAGCCAUGCCGCGUGUGUGAAGAAGGUCUUCGGAUUGUAAAGCACUUUAAGUUGGGAGGAAGGGCAGUAAGUUAAUACCUUGCUGUUUUGACGUUACCAACAGAAUAAGCACCGGCUAACUUCGUG